CAGUCGCGUUCUCUAGGGAUCAACCUUGCUUUUGUGGGGUGUACUUCCUAGUCAAUGGGUCAACAUCAGUUUUGAUCACUGGAGAAAGGCUAGUUGAAUGUGGCACCUUCGGGUGUGUUAUAGCCCUCGGUUGUAUACAGUGGUUGGGACUGAGGGUCUCAGGCCGCAAGGCUGUAGGAUGCUGGCAUAAUGGCUUUAAUCGACCCGUCUUGAAACACGGACCAAGGAGUCUAGCAUAUAUGCGAGUGUU
rnacentral:rRNA from 1 species